AGUAACACGUAUGCAACCUGCCCCGUACAGGGGAUAACCCAGAGAAAUUUUGGCCUAAUACCCCGUAGUCCGCCGCGCCGCAUGACGUGCGGGAAAGAGUUAUCGGUAGGGGAUGGGCGAUGCGGCGCAUUAGCUAGUUGGCGGGGCAACGGCCCACCAAGGCUACGAUGCGUAGGGGUUCUGAGACGGAAGGUCCCCCACACUGGUACUGAGACACGGACCAGACUCCUACGGGAGGCAGCAGUGAGGAAUAUUGGGUCAAUGGGCGAGAGCCUGAACCAGCCAAGUCGCGUGCGGGAAGACGGCCCUACGGGGUUGUAAAACCGCUUUUAGCCGGGGAGUAACGAGCGCCACGUGUGGCGCCAUGAGAGUACCCGGAGAAUAAGCAUCGGCUAACUCCGUGCC
rnacentral:rRNA from 1 species